rnacentral:rRNA from 1 species
GACAGAGGGUGCAAACGUUGUUCGGAAUUACUGGGCGUAAAGCGCGUGUAGGCGGCCCUGCAAGUCGGGUGUGAAAUCCCACGGCUCAACCGUGGAAGUGCACUCGAAACUGCAGGGCUAGAGUCCUGGAGAGGAAGGUGGAAUGCUUGGUGUAGAGGUGAAAUUCGUAGAUAUCAGGAGGAACACCGGUGGCGAAGGCGGGUCUCUGGGCAACAACUGACGCUGAUGAGCGAAAGCCAGGGGAGCAAACGGG